rnacentral:rRNA from 1 species
GCACAAGCGGUGGAGCAUGUGGUUUAAUUCGAAGCAACGCGAAGAACCUUUACCAGAUCUUGACAUCCAAUUGACCAUCUUUUAAUCGAGAUUUUGCCUUCGGGUACAAUUGAGACAGGUGGUGCAUGGUUGUCGUCAGCUCGUGUCGUGAGAUGUUGGGUUAAGUCCCGCAACGAGCGCAACCCUUGUGUUUAGUUGCAAACAGGUCAAGCUGUGCACUCUAGACAGACUGCCGUGGACAACACGGAGGAAGGUGGGGAUGACGUCAAAUCAUCAUGCCCCUUAUGAUCUGGGCUACACACGUGCUACAAUGGCCGGUACAACGGGCAGCGAAGGAGCGAUCCGGAGCGAAUCCUAAAAAGCCGGUCCCAGUUCGGAUUGCAGGCUGAAACUCGCCUACAUGAAGUUGGAGUUGCUAGUAAUCGCGAAUCAGCAUGCCACGGUGAAUACGUUCCCGGGCCUU